GACGAACGCUGGCGGCGUGCCUAAUACAUGCAAGUUGAGCGCUGAAGGUUGGUACUUGUACCGACUGGAUGAGCAGCGAACGGGUGAGUAACGCGUGGGGAAUCUGCCUUUGAGCGGGGGACAACAUUUGGAAACGAAUGCUAAUACCGCAUAAAAACUUUAAACACAAGUUUUAAGUUUGAAAGAUGCAAUUGCAUCACUCAAAGAUGAUCCCGCGUUGUAUUAGCUAGUUGGUGAGGUAAAGGCUCACCAAGGCGAUGAUACAUAGCCGACCUGAGAGGGUGAUCGGCCACAUUGGGACUGAGACACGGCCCAAACUCCUACGGGAGGCAGCGGUAGGGAAUCUUCGGCAAUGGACGAAAGUCUGACCGAGCAACGCCGCGUGAGUGAAGAAGGUUUUCGGAUCGUAAAACUCUGUUGGUAGAGAAGAACGUUGGUGAGAGUGGAAAGCUCAUCAAGUGACGGUAACUACCCAGAAAGGGACGGCUAACUACGUG
rnacentral:rRNA from 1 species